GUAUAGGCGAUAGAAAUUUUAUCCUGGUGCUAUAGACACAGUGCCGUAAGGGAAAGAUGAAAAAAGACCAACCAAGCACAAAACAGUAAGGACACACCCCUAUACCUUCUGCAUAAUGAAUUAACCAGAGACAACUUCGCAAAGAGAACUAGAGCCAAGUUCCUCGAAACCAGACAAGCUACCCAAAAACAGCUAAAAGAGCACACCCGUCUAUGUGGUAAAAUAGUGGGAAGAUUUCUGGGUAGAGGUGACAAGCCUACCGAGCCCGGUGAUAGCUGGUUAUCCAAGAUAGAAUCUUGGUUCAACCUUAAGUUUACCUACAGAAUCACUUAAUCCCCUUGUAAACUUAACUGUUAGUCUAAAGAGGGACAGCUCUUUAGACACUAGAAUAAAACCUUGUAUAGAGAGUAAAAAAAUCCAAUUUCCAUAGUUGGCCCAAAAGCAGCCAUCAAUUAAGAAAGCGUUCAAGCUCAACAUCAAACACCUAAAAAAUCCCAAACAUACUACUGAACUCCUCGCAUCACAUUGGAUUAAUCCAUUAUUUCAUAGAAGCAACAAUGUUAGUAUAAGUAACAUGAAAAUUUUCUCCACCGCAUAAGCCUACAUCAGACAAGAAUUUCACUGAUACUUAACAGUCCAAUAUUUACAAACACAAACAAAACUAAUACUACUCACACUGUUAACCCAACACAGGCAUGCUUCCAAGGAAAAGUUAAGAAAAGUAAAAGGAACUCGGCAAACUUAACCCCGCCUGUUUACCAAAACAUCACCUCUAGCAUUACCAGUAUUAGAGGCACCGCCUGCCAAGUGACACGUGUUUAACGGCCGCGGUACCCUGACCGUGCAAAGGUAGCAUAAUCACUUGUUCCUUAAAUAGGGACUUGUAUGAAUGGCACCACGAGGGUUCAACUGUCUCUUACUUUUAACCAGUGAAAUUGACCUGCCCGUGAAGAGGCGGACAUAAGAUAAUACGAUAAGAAGACCCUAUGGAGCUUUAAUUUACUAAUGCAAUCUAAACCAUACAAAUCUGUGGACUUUAACUCACUACACCUGCAUUAAAAAUUUUGGUUGGGGUGACCUCGGAGCAUAACUCAGCCUCCGAACAACCUAUGCUAAGGCUACACCAGCCAAAGCGAAUCAAUGCCCGCAAUUGAUCCAAUAACUUGACCAAGUGAACAAGUUACCCUAGGGAUAACAGUGCAAUCCUAUUUUAGAGUCCAUAUCGACAAUAGGGUUUACGACCUCGAUGUUGGAUCAGGACAUCCUAAUGGUGCAGCAGCUAUCAAGGGUUCGUUUGUUCAACGAUUAAAGUCCUACGUGAUCUGAAUUCAGACCGGAGCAAUCCAGGUCGGUUUCUAUCUAUUCUAUAUUUCUCCCUGUACGA
rnacentral:rRNA from 1 species